GAGUUUGAUCCUGGCUCAGAACGAACGCUGGCGGCAUGCCUAACACGUGCAAGUCGAACGAGACCUUCGGGUCUAGCGGCGCACGGGUGCGUAACGCGUGGGAACCUGCCUUUAGGUUCGGAAUAACUCCCCGAAAGGGGUGCUAAUGCCGAAUAAUGUCUUCGGACCAAAGAUUUAUCGCCUUUAGAUGGGCCCGCGUUGGAUUAGCUAGUUGGUGGGGUAAAGGCCUACCAAGGCGACGAUCCAUAGCUGGUCUUAGAGGAUGAUCAGCCACACUGGGACUGAGACACGGCCCAGACUCCUACGGGAGGCAGCAGUGGGGAAUAUUGGACAAUGGGCGAAAGCCUGAUCCAGCAAUGCCGCGUGAGUGAUGAAGGCCUUAGGGUUGUAAAGCUCUUUUACCAGGGAUGAUAAUGACAGUACCUGGAGAAUAAGCUCCGGCUAACUCCGUGCCAGCAGCCGCCGUAAC
rnacentral:rRNA from 1 species